GGUAUGAAGGUUGGACAAAGGAAAAACUGUCUUUCUGAUAUAAAUUGAAAUUUACCUUUAAGUGAAAAGGCUUAAAUUAAUCAAAGGGACGAUAAGACCCUAUAAAGCUUUAUAAAUAAUUUAAAUUUAAUUGAUUUAUUGAUUAAAGGUUAAAUUUAAUUAUUUUAUUUUGUUGGGGUGAUAUGAGUAUAAGUUGUGUUAACUGCUUAARAGAGAUUCUAUUAUAAAAGAGUCUAUAAUAUGCAUGAUCCUUUAUAAAGAUUAAAAGACUAAGUUACUUUAGGGAUAACAGCGUUAUUUCUUUUGAGAGUUCAUAUCGAAAAAGAAGAUUGCGACCUCGAUGUUGAAUUAAAAUAUCUAUAUAAUGCAGCCGUUAUAAGAGAGGGUCUGUUCGACCUUUAAAGUUUUACAUGAUUUG
rnacentral:rRNA from 1 species